rnacentral:rRNA from 1 species
CCUACGGGUGGCAGCAGUCGAGAAUCAUUCACAAUGGGGGAAACCCUGAUGGUGCGACGCCGCGUGGGGGAAUGAAGGUCUUCGGAUUGUAAACCCCUGUCAUGUGGGAGCAAAUUAAAAAGAUAGUACCACAAGAGGAAGAGACGGCUAACUCUGUGCCAGCAGCCGCGGUAAUACAGAGGUCUCAAGCGUUGUUCGGAAUCACUGGGCGUAAAGCGUGCGCAGGCUGUUUCGUAAGUCGUGUGUGAAAGGCGCGGGCUCAACCCGCGGACGGCACAUGAUACUGCGAGACUAGAGUAAGGGAGGGGGAACCGGAAUUCUCGGUGUAGCAGUGAAAUGCGUAGAUAUCGAGAGGAACACUCGUGGCGAAGGCGGGUUCCUGGACAUUAACUGACGCUGAGGCACGAAGGCCAGGGGAGCGAAAGGGAUUAGAUACCCGAGUAGUC